GCUGGCGGCGUGCUUAACACAUGCAAGUCGAACGAUUAACCCAAACUUCGGUUUGGUUAUAAAGUGGCGAACGGGUGAGUAACACGUGACCAACCUGCCUUCUAGAUCGGGAUAACUCAAGGAAACUUGUGCUAAUACCGGAUACUCCGGAGCAAUCGCAUGGUAGCUUCGGGAAAGCUUUUGCGCUAGAAGAUGGGGUCGCGGCCUAUUAGGUAGUUGGUGGGGUAGAGGCCUACCAAGCCUGCGAUAGGUAGCCGGGUUGAGAGACUGAUCGGCCACAUUGGGACUGAGAUACGGCCCAGACUCCUACGGGAGGCAGCAGUGGGGAAUUUUGCGCAAUGGGGGCAACCCUGACGCAGCAACGCCGCGUGCGGGAUGAAGGUCUUCGGAUUGUAAACCGCUUUCAGUAGGGAAUAAGUAUGAAGGUACCUACAGAAGAAGCACCGGCUAAAUACGUGCCAGCAGCCGCGGUAAUACGUAUGGUGCAAGCGUUAUCCGGAAUCAUUGGGCGUAAAGCGCGCGUAGGCGGCUUGUUAAGCAGGAAUUUAAAUCUUAGGGCUCAACCUUAAGUCGGUUCCUGAACUGGCAGGCUCGAGUGCGGUAGAGGAAGGUGGAAUUCCCAGUGUAGCGGUGAAAUGCGCAGAUAUUGGGAAGAACACCGAUGGCGAAGGCAGCCUUCUGGGCCGCCACUGACGCUGAGGCGCGAAAGCUAGGGGAGCGAACAGGAUUAGAUACCCUGGUAGUCCUAGCCGUAAACGAUGGGCACUAGGUGUGGGGAGGAAUUCUCUCCGUGCCGCAGCUAACGCAUUAAGUGCCCCGCCUGGGGAGUACGGCCGCAAGGCUAAAACUCAAAGGAAUUGACGGGGGCCCGCACAAGCAGCGGAGCAUGUGGC
rnacentral:rRNA from 1 species